CAAUCAGAGCCCCACACAAUUGAACAGUCAACCAUUGUCGUGACAGUGCCACAGACUCGCGAGCUUCGAACAGUAGUAGAUGGGAAAUACUAUGGAAAAUAUUCCGAGUGACGAGCCUCUAGAGCUGGAGACCCUUGCCAGGACCCUUAAAGCCAGUCGUUCCAGUCAGGGUCAGGACGAGUCCAUCUCCGAUCCGCAGUGCUCUAAGGCCGAGCCGAUCGCAGUCCGCGAUAAAGCUCCCACGCCGGAUCACAAUCCCGAGGAGAAGCCGAUUGGGGGGGAGCUGAUUGGGGGAAAGCUUAUAGCUGAGCCGGAGGAUAGCCAAGGGCUGUCGCAGGAUGUCGGACCUGAGAGGGAUGAACUGGACCUGGCCUUGGAAGUGGAUAUGGACUUGGAAUUGGACUUGGAACUGGAUCCGGAGCUAAUGGCCCUUGCCAAAAACUUAGAUCCCUUGAGCCAACCCGACAGCCUCUCCUCGCUCUCGUCGUCUGACGUCUCCAGUCGCUGGUCCUCGUCCACCGUAUCGCCCGUACCCGUCAAGAGCACUCCUCCACCGAAACUCAAGGCGAAGCCCGUGUUAUCGGGAUCGGGCUACGACAUGCCCUUUCCCUACCCCGACCAGAUUGCAUUGUGUCCUCAUCAACGUUUCCAAUAUAUCUUCAGCCUGGUGGACAGCAUGAACUUGCAGCUGGAGAAUAAGCGAAGAAAGUCUCCGGAUCCAUUGAAAAAUGCUGGCAAGAAGGGCUCCACUGGAGCAGUGCCCAAGACAAAGGGCAAGAACAAGGAAAAUUUGAAAAAGAUGCCCGCGCCCAUCAAUAAUAAUCCUAGUAGCCCCGAAAAAGCACUCCCAAUCAGCCAGGCAAAGCCAAAAAAACUCUACAUUAUGAACACGCAAGCAAAGUCUAUAAAUCUAUCAUCGAAAACCAACUACCAAUACAUGAAGGAAAAUAAGUCGAAGCCUCAAAACGUAAAGCGUAGACAGGACCAGGACCACGAACAGUUUGUCGACUUGGAUACCGAUUGCGAGCUCGGCAUGGAAUACCUCGAGCAAUAUCGAGCCAAGGCCUCACGUCGUGACUGUGAGGGCAAUCGCAACGAUCCCCCUUCAGAGACAAUCGCACGCAAAUCUCGCAUCGACAAUCCCGAGAAGCGCUCAUCAGGGACAAACACCAGAGCCAGUGGCGAUCGCAGACUUUUGCUUGGGUCAUGCGACAAUGGCGAAGAAACCAUCAACUCUGACGGGGCCCCUAUCAAAAAGAACUAUUCUUCAGAGACGAACGACAAGUUGACAGGAUUAGGAUCAGACGAUGUUCGCAUUCGGGCCGAGACACGUGCGACUGACGGCGACAAUCACGAUCAGGGCUCUUCAGGCCUCCAUAGUUCAAAUAGCGACGACUGUUCGCUUGGAUCGUACACCCGCGAAGGUUCCAGCUCCUCAGGCGAGGGGAUACCAUCCACAGAACCAUUGCCAGACGAUUUGCGCAUAAAACGCAACCGUCCCGCAACCAUGAACAUGAUCCAACCAUUUUCUGAGGACUCGCACCUGGCUUCAUCUGAUUCUGAUCCUAACACUGUCUCGUCCUCGGUCUCAGAAUCGGACUCCGACUCCCCAUCCAGCAACAUCUUGGAGAUGCCACGCCAGUCUUUUGCGGAGUGUUCUCCUCUGACCUCGUUGACCUCCAUCGGCGACCUCCAAAAGUCGCGCCAAACAUCACAGCCAUGAGGCAUCGACGCUGCGCUGAGCUUUUACUCAGGUCCUUCCAUUGGGCGAAUAAUGGCGGACUUUCUAAGCGUGAGCGUGGUGGAGGUUCUCAUGUUGGAGCAGCGUAAGAGUCCGAUGGGGUGCACGAUCAACGGCUUUGAAUUGCAUGGAAGGUCUAGGGUCCACGAAUGCCGUAUGAAAGCGAUCUUGGAGGAGUGCUUAAAACCGGUCACACAAGCCGAGACUAAGCUGCCGUGGACCGUGAUGUCACAUUUUCUCACCAACUACUGCCGCCGCAUGAAAGAGCUCUGGAAAGAGAAAAAUAAAUAUUUUAAUUGUAAUAGUAUAUAUUGUACCAAGCCCGGUACAUCCGCAAUUCGGAUCUGUCCACUCGUAAACGCUACUUUGCGGAGAACCUUUUAGUUUCUGUGAUGUUCGCGAAGAUCGACAAAAGUGAGCUGGGACGUGAAAGCAUUGAAAGCUAUGAAUGCGAAUUCGAAACACUUUGCACUGAGUUGUCUUUUUCGGUGUCUGAGUCUGUACCGAAUAUGAUGAAAAACCAUGUGGAUGCUCGACCAGUGUAUGAGGAGCGCUAUGAAGCUAAGCAAUCCACCGUUCAGAUGUGGCAUUAACAGCCAAAUAAGUCAUGCUCCCGCUAAUUAUUCCUGGAGUGAGAUCACAGAGUCGUAUUUCAGAGGGCAACGACUCCAAUAUCAUGCGUUUUAUUUAAAAUUGACAUACAUUUGUGCGUGUUCCUGUGCAGCCACUAAUUAAAUCAAAUUAUAUUUAUUAAUCAGAUGAAUAAAUAAAGCAUCGUCAA